UCUGGCUCAGGAUGAACGCUAGCUACAGGCUUAACACAUGCAAGUCGAGGGCAGCAUGAACUUAGCUGCUAAGUUGAUGGCGACCGGCGCACGGGUGAGUAACGCGUAUCCAACCUUCCCAUAGUAGGCAUAGCCCGGCGAAAGUCGGAUUAAUACCCUAUGUUCUCCGACGAUGGCAUCUGACUUGGAGCAAAGGUUUUUCCGCUAUGGGAUGGGGAUGCGUCCGAUUAGCUUGCCGGCGGGGUAACGGCCCACCGGGGCUUCGAUCGGUAGGGGUUCUGAGAGGAAGGUCCCCCACAUUGGAACUGAGACACGGUCCAAACUCCUACGGGAGGCAGCAGUGAGGAAUAUUGGUCAAUGGGCGCGAGCCUGAACCAGCCCAAGUAGCGUGCAGGAUGACGGCCCUACGGGUUGUAAACUGCUUUUGUACGGGAAUAAAGUGCGGGACGCGUCCCGUUUUGUAUGUACCGUAAGAAUAAGGACCGGCUAAUUCCGUGCCAGCCGCCGC
rnacentral:rRNA from 1 species